rnacentral:rRNA from 1 species
AUUGAACGCUCGCGGCAGGCCUAACACAUGCAAGUCGAACGCGUGGCGGACGGGUGAGUAAUGUCUGGGAAACUGCCUGAUGGAGGGGGAUCACUACUGGAAACGGUAGCUACUACCGCAUACCAUCAGAUGUGCCCAGAUGGGCUUAGCUAGUUGGUGGGGUAACGGCUCACCAAGGCGCCGGUCCCUAGCUGGUCUGCGAGGAUGACCAGCCACACUGGUGCUGAGACACGGUCCAUACUCCUACGGGUGGCAGCGGGGGGGAAUAUUUCGCAAUGGGCGCAAGCGUGAUGCAGCCUUGCCGCGUGGAUGAAGAAGUCCUUCGGGUUAUAAAGUACUUUCAGCGGGGAGGCGUUACCCGCAGAAGGAGCACCGGCUGACUCCGUGCCAGCGGCCGCGAUAAUUA